GUGGAUUUAGCAAAAAAUAAGCAAGGUUUCAUCCAUUGCAGUGGAAACGAACAUCCAGCAGCCAAAUUCGAAAUCGUUGAAACUUAGAAUAAAGAAGAGGGUGGAUUUAGCAAGAAAUAAGCAAGGUUUCAUCCAUUGCAGUGGAAACGAACAUCCAGCAGCCAAAUUCAAAAUCGUUGAAACUUAGAAUAAAAAAAGGGUGGAUUUAGCAAGGAAUAAGCAAGGUUUCAUCCAUUGCAGUGGAAACGAACAUCCAGCAGAAAAAUUCGAAAUCGUUGAAACUUAGAAUAAAAAAGAGGGUAAGUGAUUUUGUUUUUUUAUAAGCCAUACAAUAUAAUAUUGAAAUGAUUAAGGAAAUAGUUAAGCAGUCUGAUAAUAUAUUAUUAACUAUUAAAAGACUUCGUAAAAUAAUUUUUGAUAAAUUUACUCAAAAUGAUGCUAAAGUGUGGUUAAAGCGAUUAAAUGCACACAUUUGCAAAUGUAAUAAUUUAAUUAAAGCUAAAAAAUUACCCAUUGGAACUGCUAGAAAAUUACAAUCAAACGUAGGACAUUUUAAACAUUUUCGAAGAAUAAUUUUAAAUUUUAAUAGACAUGUUGGUCUAGGACUUAAUUCAAAAUUACGAAAU